rnacentral:rRNA from 1 species
AAUAGAUACCCUGGUAGUCCACACAGUAAACGAUGAAUACUCGCUGUUUGCGAUAUACCGCAAGCGGCCAAGCGAAAGCAUUAAGUAUUCCACCUGGGGAGUACGCCGGCAACGGUGAAACUCAAAGGAAUUGACGGGGGCCCGCACAAGCGGAGGAACAUGUGGUUUAAUUCGAUGAUACGCGAGGAACCUUACCCAGGCUUAAAUUGCAGAUGAAUAUAGUAGAAAUAUUAUAGCCUUCGGGCAUCUGUGAAGGUGCUGCAUGGUUGUCGUCAGCUCGUGCCGUGAGGUGUCGGCUUAAGUGCCAUAACGAGCGCAACCCUUAUUGAUAGUUACUAACAGGUUAAGCGGAGGACUCUAUCGAGACUGCCGUCGUAAGAUGCGAGGAAGGUGGGGAUGACGUCAAAUCAGCACGGCCCUUACGUCUGGGGCUACACACGUGUUACAAUGGGGGGUACAGAAGGUCGCUACCUGGCAACAGGAUGCUAAUCCCAAAAGCCUCUCUCAGUUCGGAUUGGAGUCUGCAACCCCG